CGGGUGGUAAUGCCGGAUGCUCCAGUUGAUCGCAUGGUCUUCUGGGAAAGCCUUUGCGGCAUGGGAUGGGGUCGCGUCCUAUCAGCUUGAUGGCGGGGUAACGGCCCACCAUGGCUUCGACGGGUAGCCGGCCUGAGAGGGCGACCGGCCACAUUGGGACUGAGAUACGGCCCAGACUCCUACGGGAGGCAGCAGUGGGGAAUAUUGCACAAUGGGCGCAAGCCUGAUGCAGCGACGCCGCGUGAGGGAUGGAGGCCUUCGGGUUGUAAACCUCUUUUGUUAGGGAGCAAGGCAUUUUGUGUUGAGUGUACCUUUCGAAUAAGCACCGGCUAACUACGUGCCAGCAGCCGCGGUAAUACGUAGGGUGCAAGCGUUAUCCGGAAUUAUUGGGCGUAAAGGGCUCGUAGGCGGUUCGUCGCGUCCGGUGUGAAAGUCCAUCGCUUAACGGUGGAUCCGCGCCGGGUACGGGCGGGCUUGAGUGCGGUAGGGGAGACUGGAAUUCCCGGUGUAACGGUGGAAUGUGUAG
rnacentral:rRNA from 1 species